UACGUAGGGUGCAAGCGUUGUCCGGAAUUAUUGGGCGUAAAGAGCUCGUAGGCGGUUUGUCGCGUCGGCCGUGAAAACUUGGGGCUUAACCCCAAGCCUGCGGUCGAUACGGGCAGACUUGAGUUCGGCAGGGGAGACUGGAAUUCCUGGAUGUAGCGGUGGAAAUGACGCAGAUAUCAGGAGGAACACCGGUGGCGAAGGCGGGUCUCUGGGCCGAUACUGACGCUGAGGAGCGAAAGCGUGGGGAGCGAACAGG
rnacentral:rRNA from 1 species